rnacentral:lncRNA from 1 species
AACCUGCCAUUAUAUAUCUUAAGGUAUAUAGAAAGGUUGGCAUUCUAACCCUUGCUCUUCACCUUAAACUAAGUCAGUCUUGUUUCCUUCACCAAAUUCUGGCAUUAGGUGUGAAAAGAUGAGGCGUAUAUUGGUUGCAAUGAGGCAAAACCUCCAGAACAUAAGGAAGAGUCCGCGAGUAGCAGACGAGAAUAUGUUUGGUGAUCAUGGGAAUGGAGCUGGAUUACCAGUCUUUGCACAAAACACAGACAGAACGCGACAUGGGUGGAAUGGACUUUCAAUUAUAUGUAGCAUUGUACGAGCUCCUCUCUCGCUUCUCUCUUGCCUAUCUCACCCUCACAUCAAUGGUGCCGAUGGAGUCUGGGUGUCUGGUGAGUUGGCGCGGAUAUCAGAGAUGAACCAUCUUAUGGUUAGUGACAGCAUGCGUUACGCCAUACUGAUGUGAAACUGUAAGUUGGCUGAGUUUGCAUGUUUUUGAUAUUGUGUUUUUGAAUAUUCUGGCUGGACUGGCCUGUAGUUUUGUGUCCCAGUAUUAGACAGAUAUCAAUACAUGAAAAUAAUAGUCUUCAGGGUUGGUCACAUGUCCAGUUGGACAAUCACUUGCAUGUAAUGGAGGUUAGAAAUCGAUUGCAUUCAUUAGUCUUGGGGAUUUAAAAUUUAAAUUUAAUAUGUAAUAGUAAAAUUGUGCCAUUUUUUCAUUUUUAAUGACACUAUAGUAAUCAGUAAUCAUGUCCCAUGGGUUUUGCUCAAGGAGAUGGGUCUAAAGUAGAAUCUUGCCUAACAAAGAUCUUAGUAAUUCUGUCUGUGAAUAUAACUGAUCUGGUGUGCGUGCGCAUUAAAAGCGAGUCCUUUAAAAAAGUUCCACCAAGGACCAAAUAUAAAAUAUAAUCCAAGUAUCUAACAAAGAAAAUUCAAGCAAAGUUUGAGAUCAUAAAAAGUAUUACCUGCUCAGAAAUACAAAUAUCGCACCUGAGACAUUGAAGCAGCCAGAAAGUUGGUGACUGAAAAUUUCUAUCUGCCUUCGAGUGGGCUCACCUGUAUGCAUCUUUUCAGCUAUAUAUGAGUUGACUCAAACAGGUGAUUCAUGACUUCCAGAGUAACUCCAGAUUUACUUGGUGGCUAAUUCCUAAAUAUCCAAUCUGUCCUGCACCAAAAUUUCAGACUUUAGUGGGUUUUUUCACUUUCUCUGCCACAUUACUUUGAGAUAUAUAAAAUAAGAAUAUCAUUUAUCUCAGUCUUUCCUCUGUUUUUCUUUUGGUAUUCAACUGCUGCCCGCACUGUAAUACCAAGUGCCUAUAAAAAUUAAGCCUAUAACUCGAAACCCUGUAUUUUUUUGACAAUUAAGAAGUAGAAUACGGAGGAAUCCGAAGACUACAAGACCUUCACCUCUGCCACACAUUGCAUUGUCCGUCACUAUUCCAGACAUUACAUAAAACUGCAACAUGCAAGGAACUUGAGUAGAAAUCACUUGUUGCUGCAUCACCUUAUUAUUUGACUUCUAAAAUUCUACGACUUACCUGUAUAUGCACUCACAUCUCAUCCAGUACUUUUAUCUACUGAACUUUUUAACUUUCAGUUGGAAUUACUCAACAGGCUAUUGUUUCAGGGACGCAAUAUAGUUUUAAGCACUCCAUUUCUUGUGGUGUGUGUUCUUAUUCUUAAAGGAGAGACUAUAAAAGUGUAAUAAUGUUGUUGGGGUUUUGUCCAUAUUAAGUGGGACAUGAGAGAAAGGGUCAACUGUUCCUACUCUGUUUGCCGGUUAUCUUAAUGGAAACUACUGGACUCUAAAGGUGGUGAGACCCAUGCAUUAGAAGGCAAUUCAAUGGUGUUCUCAUAUUUUUUGAACUCAUCCAAUAUAACUGACAAAAAUCUCUCACAAUUACUGUAAAUAUAACUCUAGUUAAGUGUGCCACACUUGAACAAAAAGUCCAACAGAUCGCAG